UUUACAUCACAUUCAGUCAUCUAGCAGACGCUCCCAUCCAGAGCGACCCACAGGAGCAACCAGGGUCAAGCGUCAAAACAGAUCUCCCACCAGGUCAAAUUGGGGAGCUGGACCAGCGACCUAUCGGUCCCAACUGCCAGGCCACCAACCAUCCAAAAAUCCCCUAUGGGAAAAAUGAAUGGUGGGAAAAUCUAUUGGAACCAUUUCCCUGUUUGACCGCCAGGUUUUAUGGGUAUUAUGACUCAUACUGUAGUACUCUAUUGUCUCGAGGCUUAGUGACAUCAAUAAGGGAUCAUAGCUUCCACCUGGAUUCACCCGGUCAGUGUAUGUCAUGGAAAGAGCAGGUGUCCUUAAUGUUUUAUUUACUCAGUGUAUAUUCAGAGAGAUGUGACGAUCUACUCCAGUUCAGCCAGUAGUCUGAUGCGCUCCAGCAGGUGUGUGUCUACUCAGCCAGUAGUCUGAUGUGCUCCAGCAGGUGUGUGUCUACUCAGCCAGUAGUCUGAUGUGCUCCAGCAGGUGUGUGUCUACUCAGCCAGUAGUCUGAUGUGCUCCAGCAGGUGUGUGUGUGUGUCUACUCAGCCAGUAGUCUGAUGUGCUCCAGCAGGUGUGUGUGUGUGUCUACUGAGCCUGUUCAGCCAGUUGUCUGAUGCGCUCCAGCAGGUGUGUGUCUACUCAGCCAGUAGUCUGAUGUGCUCCAGCAGGUGUGUGUCUACUCAGCCAGUAGUCUGAUGUGCUCCAGCAGGUGUGUGUCUACUCAGCCAGUAGUCUGAUGUGCUCCAGCAGGUGUGUGUCUACUCAGCCAGUAGUCUGAUGUGCUCCAGCAGGUGUGUGUCUACUCAGCCAGUAGUCUGAUGCGCUCCAGCAGGUGUGUGUCUACUCAGCCAGUAGUCUGAUGUGCUCCAGCAGGUGUGUGUCUACUCAGCCAGUAGUCUGAUGUGCUCCAGCAGGUGUGUGUGUGUGUCUACUCAGCCAGUAGUCUGAUGUGCUCCAGCAGGUGUGUGUCUACUCAGCCAGUAGUCUGAUGUGCUCCAGCAGGUGUGUGUCUACUCAGCCAGUAGUCUGAUGUGCUCCAGCAGGUGUGUGUGUGUGUCUACUCAGCCAGUAGUCUGAUGUGCUCCAGCAGGUGUGUGUCUACUCAGCCAGUAGUCUGAUGUGCUCCAGCAGGUGUGUGUCUACUCAGCCAGUAGUCUGAUGUGCUCCAGCAGGUGUGUGUCUACUCAGCCAGUAGUCUGAUGUGCUCCAGCAGGUGUGUGUCUACUCAGCCAGUAGUCUGAUGUGCUCCAGCAGGUGUGUGUCUACUCAGCCAGUAGACUGAUGUGCUCCAGCAGGUGUGUGUCUACUCAGCCAGUAGUCUGAUGCGCUCCAGCAGGUGUGUGUCUACUCAGCCAGUAGUCUGAUGUGCUCCAGCAGGUGUGUGUCUACUCAGCCAGUAGUCUGAUGUGCUCCAGCAGGUGUGUGUGUGUGUCUACUCAGCCAGUAGUCUGAUGUGCUCCAGCAGGUGUGUGUCUACUCAGCCAGUAGUCUGAUGUGCUCCAGCAGGUGUGUGUCUACUCAGCCAGUAGUCUGAUGUGCUCCAGCAGGGUGUGUGUGUGUGUCUACUCAGACAGUAGUCUGAUGUGCUCCAGCAGGUGUGUGUGUGUGUCUACUCAGCCAGUAGUCUGAUGUGCUCCAGCAGGUGUGUGUCUACUCAGCCAGUAGUCUGAUGCGCUCCAGCAGGUGUGUGUCUACUCAGCCAGUAGUCUGAUGUGCUCCAGCAGGUGUGUGUCUACUCAGCCAGUAGUCUGAUGCGCUCCAGCAGGUGUGUGUCUACUCAGCCAGUAGUCUGAUGCGCUCCAGCAGGUGUGUGUCUACUCAGCCAGUAGUCUGAUGCGCUCCAGCAGGUGUGUGUCUACUCAGCCAGUAGUCUGAUGUGCUCCAGCAGGUGUGUGUCUACUGAGCCAGUAGUUUGAUGUGCUCCAGCAGGUGUGUGUCUACUCAGCCAGUAGUCUGAUGCGCUCCAGCAGGUGUGUGUCUACUCAGCCAGUAGUCUGAUGUGCUCCAGCAGGUGUGUGUCUACUCAGCCAGUAGUCUGAUGUGCUCCAGCAGGUGUGUGUCUACUCAGCCAGUAGUCUGAUGCGCUCCAGCAGGUGUGUGUCUACUCAGCCAGUAGUCUGAUGCGCUCCAGCAGGUGUGUGUGUGUGUCUACUCAGCCAGUAGUCUGAUGUGCUCCAGCAGGUGUGUGUGU